rnacentral:rRNA from 1 species
AUUGAACGCUGGCGGCAGGCCUCUUCAUGCAAGUCGAGCGGAUGAAGGGAGCUUGCUCCUGGAUUCAGCGGCGGACGGGUGAGUAAUGCCUAGGAAUCUGCCUGGUAGUGGGGGAUAACGUCCGGAAACGGGCGCUAAUACCGCAUACGUCCUGAGGGAGAAAGUGGGGGAUCUUCGGACCUCACGCUAUCAGAUGAGCCUAGGUCGGAUUAGCUAGUUGGUGGGGUAAAGGCCUACCAAGGCGACGAUCCGUAACUGGUCUGAGAGGAUGAUCAGUCACACUGGAACUGAGACACGGUCCAGACUCCUACGGGAGGCAGCAGUGGGGAAUAUUGGACAAUGGGCGAAAGCCUGAUCCAGCCAUGCCGCGUGUGUGAAGAAGGUCUUCGGAUUGUAAAGCACUUUAAGUUGGGAGGAAGGGCAGUAAGUUAAUACCUUGCUGUUUUGACGUUACCAACAGAAUAAGCACCGGCUAACUUCGUGCCAGCAGCCGCGGUAAUACGAAGGGUGCAAGCGUUAAUCGGAAUUACUGGGCGUAAAGCGCGCGUAGGUGGUUCAGCAAGUUGGAUGUGAAAUCCCCGGGCUCAACCUGGGAACUGCAUCCAAAACUACUGAGCUAGAGUACGGUAGAGGGUGGUGGAAUUUCCUGUGUAGCGGUGAAAUGCGUAGAUAUAGGAAGGAACACCAGUGGCGAAGGCGACCACCUGGACUGAUACUGACACUGAGGUGCGAAAGCGUGGGGAGCAAACAGGAUUAGAUACCCUGGUAGUCCACGCCGUAAACGAUGUCGACUAGCCGUUGGGAUCCUUGAGAUCUUAGUGGCGCAGCUAACGCGAUAAGUCGACCGCCUGGGGAGUACGGCCGCAAGGUAA